GCGGGAGUAGCUCAUCUGGCAGAGCGUCAGCCUUCCAAGCUGAAUGUAGCGGGUUCGAGCCCCGUCUCCCGCUCCA
rnacentral:tRNA from 1 species